UGACAAUCAAGCACAGGAGCAACAUCUGUCCAGACAAUGGAGAGAACGAACCCAUUGAAUUUGUCUCUAAAAGUCCAUAAAUAACCCUGGGAAGAAAGAAUGAGUGGAGAAAAGAGCAAGGUUUAGAAAACUCUAAAUCAAACGUUUAUGUCGGUGUUAUCAUCCUACUGGGGCUCCUGACUACUUUCCUGCUGGUUGGACUGAUCUAUGUUCUUAUCCACUGUGAUCAAACUGGCAAUUUGUUAGCGGAUUUCACCAUCAAGCUUUCUUUGGUGACUCAAGAGAAAGACCGACUGAAUGCCAACCUCACUGACAUGCA